UAUUAAGGCGCCUGAUAUGACAGCCAUGACAGAGCAAGUGGCCUUCUAAUGGGUAACAACGAUGGCCUUCCUCAUCAUUGAGCUGCAAGCCACAGUCCUGGAAGAAAAAUUUAAAUCCUGGGUUAGUGAGUGAUUCAGAGAAAGACUUCAAGGCCCAUGGUUUGUAUUUUUGGUGGAGACACAUUAGUAUCUGUGGGACUGGCACAUAACUACAGGGAUGACAUAAAUGAACAACACUGGAGGAACAGAAAUAAGAACAACAGAGUAAACAGCGAUGCUGCCUGCUGACAACUGUGUACACUGCAAUAGAGGUAAUCCUGGUGCUCAGUUAUCAUUGCAACCUUGAGAAUAUUUGAAAGUUAGAGUGGUUUUGUGCUUGGAUUUGAUGUUUCAAGAGUUGUAAGUACUUAAAAUUGUUACUGUGACCAAUUCUGACUACUCUGAGAUUCUGAAUAUGUAACUGAACACUAAACAGAAGAAAAAAUGUGAUCAAACUGGGCAUAUAGGUAAUUUUAGUACUGAAAAUCAAUGCAGAGUUUUUAAUUGGACUCAAAGUAUGAUUUUUCAGCUUUCAUAGCUAAUGUUAAAAUCUUUAUUUUUUAUAAUGCUGAAAUAAGAAUGAAAACUUUUAAAGUAAGCUUUAAAACUGAGAUGUUAGAGAGGCUUUAAUCAAAGCUUCUGCCAAUUUCUAUUUUCUGUGUGAAUAUAUGCUACAUCCUACCUUUAUAGUCUGUUAUAUUAAGAUUUAAAAUUCAGUUCCUCUUUAUAAUUUAAAAAAUUCAGAUAUAUUACAAGCAUUUGGAAUAGCUGUUAGGUACCUUUUCCCUGUCCAGAACUGGAUUCCUUUUUCUGCAACAAGAAAGUCUACUUUCUCAGUGGAUUUCAGUUCUAGAAUAAGUCUAUAUUGAUCUGCAAGCCGGCUUGAACUUCACAGCAAAUUUUAAGCUGUUGCAUAA